CCAAGGAGGAAGGAGCUCUCUCUCUCUUGGAAGAGAGGAGCAGCCUGACUGAAGGUGCAGUGUCUGACAUGGUUGAGGGAUGGAGUAUUACCUGAUAUGGAUUCAGCUUCGCAUUGACUUCUUGACAAGCUUCAGUAAGAGCAAAAUGUGUGAUGCCACCAACUACAGAAUGGAAGGGAAGAGAGAACAGCCACAGGAAGACCAAUGCCAAUAUGAUCACAAUCCAUCAUCGCAUCACCACAAGUGCAGUAUGUUUGAAUACAUCCACAUUUCAUCCAGAGGGAGCUUAGUCCUGUCUAAUAAA